UAUGGUAUAACUUAGUGGCAGACGGGUGAGUAAUGUAUAGGAAUCUACCUAGUAGUACGGAAUAAUUGUUGGAAACGGCAACUAAUACCGUAUACGCCCUACGGGGGAAAAAUUUAUUGCUAUUAGAUGAGCCUAUAUUAGAUUAGCUAGUUGGUGGAGUAAUAGCCUACCAAGGCAAUGAUCUAUAGCUGAUCUGAGAGGAUGAUCAGCCACACUGGAACUGAGAUACGGUCCAGACUCCUACGGGAGGCAGCAGUGGGGAAUAUUGGACAAUGGGCGAAAGCCUGAUCCAGCCAUGCCGCAUGAGUGAAGAAGGCCUUUGGGUUGUAAAGCUCUUUUAGUGAGGAAGAUAAUGACGGUACUCACAGAAGAAGUCCUGGCUAACUCCGUGCCAGCAGCCGCGGUAAUACGGAGAGGGCUAGCGUUAUUCGGAAUUAUUGGGCGUAAAGGGCGCGUAGGCUGGUUAAUAAGUUAAAAGUGAAAUCCCGAGGCUUAACCUUGGAAUUGCUUUUAAAACUAUUAAUCUAGAGAUUGAAAGAGGAUAGAGGAAUUCCUGAUGUAGAGGUAAAAUUCGUAAAUAUUAGGAGGAACACCAGUGGCGAAGGCGUCUAUCUGGUUCAAAUCUGACGCUGAAGCGCGAAGGCGUGGGGAGCAAACAGGAUUAGAUACCCUGGUAGUCCACGCUGUAAACGAUGAAUGUUAAAUAUGGGAAGUUUACUUUCUGUAUUACAGCUAACGCGUUAAACAUUCCGCCUGGGGACUACGGUCGCAAGAUUAAAACUCAAAGGAAUUGACGGGGACCCGCACAAGCGGUGGAGCAUGUGGUUUAAUUCGAUGCAACGCGAAAAACCUUACCACUUCUUGACAUGAAAAU
rnacentral:rRNA from 1 species